AACGCGUUGUUUUCUCGUUCCCAUUUCUGCAAAUAAACCAACAAUUAUUAGUAUUUGAAUUAUAAUCGAUGUGCAUGGAUAUUUCAAUUAUUUUAAUUAUGAGAAUGCAACCCUUCGCCACAGGAUAUGAUGGAUAUGGAUGCAGUUGAGGUCGUCUGUAUGGAUAUAUCGAACCGGACGUACAUAAACCGCAACUCACGUGCAAAUUACACGGUCAGUACCGAUCGGUUUAUCUAUAGCGGGAGGCAUCAGUUCACGUGUAUGUAAAUGCCUUUGAUAUCAACCGCAAGGAUAUACGACACACAUAUGUUCCUAUCGAUUUUACAAAGGGCCUUGAUGUAUUACGUGCUACCGAACCGAGUGAUUCAAUAAUAUUCAUACAUCGUAUUCCGUUAUCGCGACCAUGAAUAAUAGAUGCAGUUCAAGUUCAGUAUAAAAUUAGAUCUGCCCUAUACUAAUGUUAGCAUUCCUGGAAGUCCUAAGUUAGCCCGGUGUAUCUAAAUUCAACAAAGAUGAAACGUGGAAAUGAAAAUCGAAAUGAAACUAAUCACAGCUAAUUAUCGAUUUGGAAAUACUUACUUGCAUGCAUCUUGGCUCGUGAAUAGGAAAACUGGCGGUGCCGAAUUCACGUCCGCAUAUGUAACAAGUAAUGGUCCUUGGUCCUUUCUUAAUCGGUGCCGACGACGGUCUGUGCGAUGGAUUGCUCGAUUUCGACUUCACCUCGACAGCGACCAUUUCCUCGCUUUUGUUCUUGCUCUUAUCGCUACGGAAGUGCAAGGCCACGGGCUUCUGCACGGUUUUUGGUACCGUUGCCUUCGUCUUCGUGCUCGCCGGACUCUCUUUCGUCUUAGGCUGACCGCUUUUCGGGUGACUGUGAAACCGCUCCGGUUGGUCCGGUUUCCCGCAACUUUUGCAAGGUUCCGGAGCAUUCUUCGACGAGGAGGAAGUGAACACCUCCAAUUCAGUUUGAAUGACGGGCUUUGAAUUUUUCUUCUUCAACGUUGACAAUGAGGGUACCUUGUGGCUGGGCGGUUUGCUUCUAAAUUAACGAAUAACAUUUGUUUAAAUAUUGCAAACACAAAAUUCAACUAUUUUAAGCGAAUAUUUAUGAACCUAUUAUUAUUGUCAUCCAACUUCCUGCCGUCUGAAUUCUUCUUCGUCGUCAUGGUUUCCUGGUUGAUGAUCCUUGCUUGUUUUUGCAUUCUCGGUGAUUCAACGAACGUAUCCAAGUUGACCAACCUCGAAUCUAAAAUUUGCUCGAAACUACGUCGUUUGUAGCGUGCGGAUAAGGAACCGUUGCACCACGCAGCACCGUUCGACGCGUGACUCUGCGGUUGGUGUUGUUCGCCAACAGUGACGUCUUGCCGACACCUUGACGACGAUGGGAACGACGACGUCCCACCACCGAUUGCUUUUGACAGGCGAAACCUUGUCAUAGAGUGGACGAGCAAUUCUUUGCUCAACACAGACAUGUCCAGUUUAUCGACUAAAUCCGGGUCCAACACGCUCGGCUUCUCGAGAUUCGCGGUCUUUGGUCUCUCCGGAUGGUCGUACAUCCCACGCUUCAUUUUCGGUGGCCAGGUGCCGGUGUCCGGUGUCUUCGACUUUUCUCGUUGCUUCCCCUUUUCUGCACGAUUCAUAUAUUUAUGUAUAGUAUUAAUUUCAUAAGAUAAAAUAAUAGGAAUUCAAGAUAAUCGAUGUUUGGUUGCAAUGUAAGAAAAGAUUUGUUUGAAAAUGGCUGCUGACUACAUUUACUCUUGUUUAAUCGUUUUAUUAGUUGAUCUAUGUAAAAGAUAUGAUUUAGAAAAAUUGAAACAGUCAAUUUUCCUCUUUACAAGUAAUUUCUUAAUCUUUACGGAUUUGUUGAAUUUAAUUCAAUUUUUGAAUUUAAACUCGUGCGCAAAAAUACAUGCGCGGAUUGAGCAAUAAUUUCCUAAAAUUCUUGUUAAAUAAAGUAUGUUUAUUAGGAAAUUAAAUGGAAGAUUUUACUCACUUUUCAAUAUAUCCAGAUCAUCCUUGAUUACCAGAAAUGUUUUUUCCGACAUAAACUCUGAUGGUCCCUUUUUCCAUUUCAUGAUUUUUCCGGUAAAUAUACUUGCAACAAUUUAACACUUCGAAUUUGAAAGAUAACACGAUACGAAAUUUUGAAAUGUUUAUCUUAAAUUUUAAGAGAUCAACAUUCAAGAUUUCAUUAUAAUUACUUGCGGAAAUUAAAUUUGCCGGGCCCUCAAAUAAACUAAAUCUAAAAAAUCCGAUCAAUUUAGAUAGUAAUUAGACACAUCUGAUCAGAUGAAAUUUUCUAACUCUGAGACAUUUAUGGUUAUCGCGACAAACAAAUGGAUUGUUCUUUCUCACUGACACUUCACUGAAAUUAGCUUACGCCGGUAUGUUCAUGAUGUCACAUUAAUUGUUCUUGUAAUUCUCAUGAUGAACAGGAGUUGACAGUAUCAAUCUUCUUACACGUUUUCCGGGUGAUCGACAGGGUCAUUAGUAUUUAACUUAAUGAUUAAUGUACCUUAUAUCUAAAUACUUUUUAAAUAAAGAAUGACAAUUACGUUUUAA